AGAUAAUGAGUUUUAAAAGCAGGUAUUUUCCCUUAUAGAAGAUGAUGAACCAUAAUAUCUUUAUAUAUAUCUUUAUAUAUAUAAUAGGUUAUGAAUCUCUCCUAGGGGGUCCACCUCAGCUGCCAGCGCACAAAUUCGAGUUCCCUGUAACCGACACCUGUCCUCAUUAAUCAAAACGGUGCGCACCAUUUUGAUUCCGUACGGGCUCUUUUUUUAAUGUUUUGAUAAAUUUGGGCUUCAGGCCCGUCCCUUGCUUCCUGCAGAAAACAUUGAAAGGCGUCCCCGCUAAACCUAAAUUCCGCCUUCGUUCAUCCCAGUCUGAUUACGGCGGCGAUAAUGACGAUGAUCGUUUCCCCUCUUCCUGUAACGGAACUCGACAUUAAUGGCAUUAAUACAGACGCCCAGUACGAGCCCUUCAAUGCGUCGUUCCGUAGGCGAGAUCCAAGUUAUAAAUAGGGUGUUUUUUUUCUGAUUUGAAAACCGGGAAGUGUUCAUCGGUUGUGGAGGCUAGGCUGCUGAGAUACUGGGAGGCUAGGAACGUUAAGAGGGGUGGAGAGCUUAUGUGGGUGGAUAUGCUUUUGGUCGAUGUUAAUGCAACCAUGAUGCAGGCCACAAUCAGCGCUCACCGUCUACCACAGUACCAAGAGAGACUUACUGCCGGUGCAAUGUAUUCCAUAGCUGAUUUUGAUGUCGCUAGAUGUACUCAGAACUUCAGACUUUCUGAUUCUUCAUUGAUGAUCCGUUUCAAUGAGUCUACGUCUUUUGACGAGAUAGAUGAUCCGGUCUCUGCCUUGCCUGAGGAAGCAUUCCGGUUCUGUGACCAGUCGGAGCUGCUUGGUUUGGCCAAUACAAACACUCAGUUACCAGACAUCAUAGGAGAGAUCCUUAGCGUCAAGAGUACUGUUAUUGACCCUCCGGAGGAGAAGAAUCGUGUCAUGGUGACCAUAAAAAUGGACAGUAAUGACACUGUCACUCUAAGCUUAUUUGUUCUCAAGCUGUUGCUUUCCACAAACAACUUGAGGCCAUGCGUGUUGAUCCGAAGGUCAUUGUUGCUACUAGCAUUAACCCAAAGAUGGUUGGAGGUCGUUUGUUUCUCAAUGCGACGUACGGAACACAUGUGUAUUUUGACAAGAAGAUGAAAGCAGGGGAAGUUCGAUUCUACCAGUUAGUUGCCAGGGACACUGGGCUCGCAUCAGCCGCCCCGCUGCUACGGUCGUAUGCGAAGGUUGAGAAGAUGACAAUCGCUGAGCUCAACAGCUUCAUCGUCUCCGCUGGAAGUCAGGAAAUCGAUUUCCUAUGUACUGGGAGGGUUGUUCGAGUUGACACAGAUAAGGGGUGGUGUUAUGUGGCUUGCUCCAAAUGCAGUAAAAAUUACAGCGCACCGUCUCCGCAUUUACGUGUGGGCGAUGCAAUAAUUCACAUGCAGUUGGAGCACUUCGCUACCGUGUGGAGAUGGAUAUAGCUGACGAUACUGCCGAAGGAACGUUUGUUUGGUUUGAUGGGGUGAUGAUGAAACUUCAUAGUCUCCGAGCAAGCGAGGCUGUUCAGAUGCAGAAGAUGGAGUGAAUCCUGAAGACUGUAGGAUACCUCCGUUCAUUGCAGACAUGGAAGGAAAGUCGUACACUUUCCAGGUGAGGGUAACAGCGUUUAACUUCACCGAGCAUCACAAGACGUUCACCAUAACGCGUAUUGCUGAGGAGCUUGGUCGUGCGCGACGACAAUGGAGGUGGCGAUGAUGAUGACAAUGACGUGCCCCCUGACAAUGGAUCAGGUUGAUGCUUAUGCAUUUUUAUUUGCUUAUGAAUUUUUAUUUGCUUUCGGACUCUCUGAAUUAACAAUGCUUAUGCAUUUUUAUUUGCUUUCACGUAUUUGGUUAUUUGUCUUCUGGAUAUUCCCAUUUUUAUGGGCAAUUUAAGUUUAAGGAUUUUGCAUUUCGGUA